GAAGGGCGGGGCGGAGCCGGGCAGCGCUGCGCAUGCGCACUGGCUUUACCCGCCCGGUGCUGUUGCUCCGUGGGUACCGUCCGGCGCUGCCCGGGAGCGGCUUGGAAGCAGCGGGUUCGGUUCCCGGCUGCGGCAGCGGCGGGCGAGGGUUGUGGUGACAAUGGAGGAGGGCGGCUGUUGCUGUGGCUGCAGCGAGGUGGAAAGUGAGCGGAGAACGGCGACGCAGCGUGUGCCGGGAAAAGACCCGAGGGGGGGCGGCCCCGGAGCAGAGCCGGGCGGGAGCGGGCGGCGGGGACUGCGCGGGGCGAAGGCAGUCCCGGCGCGGGCGCGGAGCCGGGGAGGAGCUGCGGGGCUGGGGCCGGGGCUUGCGGGCGGCACGGCGGGACCUCCCUGCAGAGCCUUUCCUGGGAAACAAAACCUGCAGUUUGUCCCACCUCGGCCCCGUGGCAAGGGGCAGCGCAACCGAGGGGAGCAGCGCCUGAGCAGGGGCGGCAGCGUGCGGGCGCAGGGAAGACGCGGCUGGUGCUGGAGCGAGAACGUGCAGGUUUCUUACAUUUAAAUGAACGUGGAAAGCAGGGAGAGAGGUGGUAUAAAAGCACCGGGUGCUCGGGCAGGUGAGACAGGACUCAGGGGAGGGAGUCGCUUUCCUGAGCUCCUGAAGUUCCACUUGACUCUCUCAGGAGCACUCGUGAGAAGUUUCCCAUUUGGAGUUGGGCUCCAAAAGGAAGGAACUUGAAACCGCUUCUUCUGAUAAAUCCCCCAGGGCUGAGCUGGAGAACGGGUGGAGACAGUGGCAAGCGGGAGUCCCAUGUUUACAUCUGCCCUUGGAUUCCACUUUCUUCCAGUGGGUCUGUACUGCCCGAAGUACAAAGGAAGGAGGUGUUGGAGUACCUGUUUGUUCACCUGUUGAGCUUGGAAGAGAUGCUGAGUGUGAAAUUCCAGGGGUGCCGGCUCCUUGUGAGCUGUUGGUUGCUCAGGAGAUUGGGUCGGGGAAAGGGGGGGAGAGUCCGAGCACAGCACAGUGGUAGGAGCUGGGUUUGCAUCUCAAUCUAAGGCAUCUCAAAGCCUGAUAAGCUGGAAAGAAGACUUUGCUGUGUUAAUGCACAAUUACAUUUUUGUGCAAUUUUUUGAAAUUAGGGCUGAGAUCAAUCUGGGGAGGUUAUCUGGCCCAAUUCCCUGUGCCCUGCUUUGCCAUGAGGAAUGGAUGCCUGACCUCUUUGCAGAGAGCUGCUGCUGCUAAAGAUUUCUCAGUUUCUAUAGUGAAUUUAUCCCAGUACUUUGCUGCUAUAAAGAAGUCUCCUCUUGCUGCCAUUUCCCCUUAUUACAUUUAAGAUCAGCUCCAGCUGAGUUAGAAUUUAAUCCCAACCUUUUCCCCCUUUUUUUUUUCCCAAGAGGCCUCAGCUAUCUCGCUAUUUCUUUCCUCUCUCACCCUCCAGGUCCUGUUUUUCAGACCUCGUUCUUUCCUUAUAAAACCCUUGAUAACCCAUUCCCCACUUAAGGCUUUGUUGUAUCCUUGUUUUGCUACCUUCUGGGUGCUGUGGAUGAAGGUCUGGCUUUGAGGAGCACACCCUGCUCCCUUUGCUCAAGGGAUUGCAGUUAUUCCAAUCUUCUGCUGCUGAGGGCUUCCUUAGGCUCUUGCUGAAAUGAAAAAUAUCCAGGAAGCUUUUCCUUUUUUGAGAUUAGACUGGUUUCUGCAGGUCCUUGAGAUGUGACCAUGAUGGUUAAAAACCCGCAGUGCAAAUGAAGGUUUCUCCCGUCUUCCCCCCUGCCCCCUACCUGCUCCAUGCACAGUUCAUUACUUUGUAAUCACAACUACUAAGGAAACCUUUCUAAUCUUGUCAAUUGGCAAUGCAACUGCUUUUAAAUUCUGGUUUAAAAUAGGUUUUGAAGUCAGGCUCUGCCCUUGCUAUUGAUUUGAAUUCUUGACUGAGUAAAUUAUUGGUGCUUAACAA